rnacentral:tRNA from 1 species
GGGCAGGUAGCGAAGUGGUUAAACGCGGCAGACUGUAAAUCUGUUGGCUUAUGCCUUCGGGGGUUCGAAUCCCUCCCUGCCCACCA